AAGAAAGAGCACAAACGGAUGAAUUUCUAACAUGCAGAAGUUGCGAGCUCCCUUUUUUUCUGAUCUUUCUUGUUUUUCUGUUUUUGUUCUUC
rnacentral:ribozyme from 1 species